rnacentral:tRNA from 1 species
GGGGGAUUAGCUCAGGAGGUAGAGUGUCUGCCUACCAGGCAGAAGGUCGUGAGUUCGAGUCUCACAUUCUCCA